CAUGGGGGAAGGUCUGUCUCUGAGCAGGAGACCAGCACCUUGGACAGAGCAGUGCUAGGGAAGGGCAGAAGGAGCUGGGGAGCUCCAGCCAAGGAAAACCCCGGGCUGUGGGCCUUGCUGCAAAGGGCUGAGUGGGUGCACAGGACCGAAGUGGAAGCAGCCCAGGGACAAAGUCUGACAAGGGGAGAGAAGGAGGGCAGGGAGGCUGCUGCUAGAGGGUCCCUGGGUUGGGACCUAGAGUAGUGGGUGGGCCUGGGUCGUUCCUCCCCUUCCACCUGGCUGAGGAGAAGCCUGGCCUGAUACAGGCUGUGGCUGGCCACUGUGACAAAGGGGCUAGACUUUGAGGCUGCAGCCAGCCACUAGAACAGGUGCAGAUAGAGGACUGCUGAUAACACCAACCACCCCCAGAAGGGGGUGAGACCAGAGCAGUGGGCACUGCCAGAGGGCAGCAUCCUGAAGAGGACGCUGCUGAGCGGGAAGCAACGUGGGUCCGGACACCAACAGGGGAGCAGAUGAUGGAUGGGACACCACUGGCAGAUGGUGCCCUGCAGAGGACAGAGCUAAUUCCCAGAUGUGCCAGCGGGAGGUGCUGCAGUGGUAUGAAGAAGAAAUUGAUCUAACAGAGAGAGAAGGAGAAACAAGUCAGAAAUAAAAAGAACUUGCAUUAUAGCCUUAGACUUCGUGCUGCUAUUCCUGCUGCUUCCUGUGCUUAUGAUACAUAUCUUCCACCUGUUGAUGGAGAAGCCCAGGGGAUAAAAUCCUGCCCUGCUGAAGUCAGGAGUUUUACCAUUCACUUUACUGGGCCCAAGAUUUCACCCAAGAUGUCUGACAGCACUUUAGGCAGAAGUCUUGUACUAAUGGCUCACUAUUUGGAGAGACACUGACUGAACCAACCAUCAGUACACAAGUGGUUUCACUCCACAGAGAUUCUCAUAGGCAAGAGUCAUGCUGAAAAGGGCAGAAGAGCAUCAAACUAGUACAGACAGUACUGGAAGCUUGAAACCUGGGAACAGAAAUAAAAGGAACUGCAAGCCGUACAGUUUCCCAGAAAUUAGAAGAUUGCACUGUGAGGUCCUCUGUGAAACCAUGUUCUAAAUUACUUUUUUCCACUGCCUACCAUGAUGGGGCCUUGGUCCUGAUGAGGGCCUCUUUGGGUCUACCAUAAUUAAC